rfam:Bdellovibrionales bacterium RIFOXYD1_FTLL_44_7 rifoxyd1_full_scaffold_4592, whole genome shotgun sequence.
GGGUCGCUAGCUCAGUUGGUAGAGCAGCUGACUCUUAAUCAGCGGGUCACAGGUUCGACUCCUGUGCGGCCCA